GUGGGCCUGAAGAAAGCCCAUGACGAUUGUCACAGCAGUGAGGAAUAUUGGUCAAUAGCCUAACGGCUGAACCAGCAACUUGGAGGAAUGUAUAGCAAUAGCUACUUGUAUCAUUGUACAAAUGAUGCAAGAUUGAUUUGUCGAAUAAAAUUCUAGGUAGAGUUAUGAUAAUGACAUUGUCUGCCUAUGUGUCUUGACCAAAUUACGUGCCAGCUGUCGCGGUAAUACGUAGAAGACUAGUGUUAUUCAUGUUUAGUCGGUUUAAAGGGUACCUAGACGGUAAAUCAAGCCUACAAGUAAAUGAAGGGACUAUUUUGCUAGAGUUACUUACGAGGGGGUUUUAAAGUACUGCUGGUGUAGAGAUGAAAUUCUGUAAUACCUCUUUUCAAUUGAAAAAUAAUGGCACAGGUAUAGGCGAAGGCAUCCCCUUAUGUGAUAACUGACGUUGAGGGACGAAGGCUUUGUGUAGCGAACAGGAUUAGAUACCCCAGUAGUCAAAGCAGAAAAUGAUGAAUGUCAUAGAUUAGACGUCUAAGUUUAUUCUAUAAAUGAAAGUGUAAGCAUUCCACCUCAAGAGUAAUUUGGCAACAUUGGAACUGAAAUCAUUAGACCGUUUCUGAAACCAGUAGUGAAGUAUGUUGUUUAAUUUGACGGUACGCAAAGAACCUUACCACAAUUUGG
rnacentral:rRNA from 1 species